UGCUAUGUUGCUCCAUUUCACGAAGCAAAAUAAGUCUGAGGUAGCACCAUCCUUGUGGUUUGAGUUGAACAAUGGGGGUAUUGAGACCAAAAUGAACAAUGUGCCACUCUAGACAGCUGUGGACAAAAUAUGCAUUCAGAGUAUUUUCUCAAACAGAGAGAGAAUUCCAGGCCAAAAGGACUCAACAGAGACAACAUUAUGAGGAGCAACCAGUACAUCAAAGCAAAAAGAUGCUAUGAUAUUGUCUGAGGCACCUUAUUUUCCAUGUCCUUCACAAUCACAACUGCAGCACACCAGUCAAUUUCUGCCAUUCAGAAGAAUCAGAAAGAAAUCUUGGAUUGGAAAAUCAUUCUGAAAGUAGACUAAAUUCAGGACAACAUCACAGCAGUGGUCGGAAAAACAUCAGUCAAUGAGCAAGCCAAGCUAACUUUCCAAAGAUGAUUUGUUAUCUGUCUUCAGAGGGAAGGCAGCUUGGAGGAUGCUACAGCUACACAGGGAGAAUUUCAGCAGCUCAGUUUCAUACUUGCAACUAAUAAUGAAUAAUAGUUAGAAGACAGCGGAAAGAAUUGACAUCGCAGAGACACACACCAAGAGACACGCACACACACGCAGCUGAAGCGAGUUUGACUGACGCGCAUGGGAGAUCGGGCACCGUGCACGCACACACAAACAUGGAGCACAGCAUAAUUACAACUGUUGGAUUAAAAUAAAAUUACUUUGUGGUAUACAAUGUUUCUCGUGUCUGUUUUCAUGUUUUCAUUGGUUAGCAGGGAAAUAAAAUGACUUGCUGAGGACUUUAGGCGAACGUCCCCUAAAAGUCCCAAAAGUCUGCUGAACGUCCUGCGAACGUCCCUGUGAAAGUCCGGAGGCGUCGUCGCGGACGUCCGCUCGACGUAACGGGUACCCUACACAAUGACGUCUGUGGGACGUUCGCAGAGAACGUUUAGGGGACGUCCUGGGGACCUUUUUUGUUAGCUGGGAGCUGGCUGUCCAAUGACAUGGUUGGCCUAACGUUGGCCCAACGUUGUUUUAGUGGUUUUUAAGUUGGCAGAAGGUUGGUAAGGUUUUUUUUAGGUUGGCAGAAGGUCUGCUGGCCGUCCAAUAACAUGGUUGGCCCAACGUUGGCCCAACGGACAAAAUUACGUUGGGCCAACGUCAGCACCCAACGUUGGCCCAACAC